ACUAUUUAUUCAGCCAAGGAUGACUUGCCUAGAUCUUGUUACCAGUAUCGGCUAGUUAUGCUGAUAUCGAUUUCAGUCACUAGGUGAGUCGUCCUUGGCUAAA
rnacentral:pre_miRNA from 1 species